rnacentral:rRNA from 1 species
AGUCGAGCGGAACGAUGGAGCUUGCUCCAGGCGUCGAGCGGCGGACGGGUGAGUAAUGCAUAGGAAUCUGCCCGGUAGUGGGGGAUAACCUGGGGAAACCCAGGCUAAUACCGCAUACGUCCUACGGGAGAAAGCAGGGGAUUUUCGGACCUUGCGCUAUCGGAUGAGCCUAUGUCGGAUUAGCUUGUUGGUGAGGUAAUGGCUCACCAAGGCGACGAUCCGUAGCUGGUCUGAGAGGAUGAUCAGCCACAUCGGGACUGAGACACGGCCCGAACUCCUACGGGAGGCAGCAGUGGGGAAUAUUGGACAAUGGGCGCAAGCCUGAUCCAGCCAUGCCGCGUGUGUGAAGAAGGCUUUCGGGUUGUAAAGCACUUUCAGUGAGGAAGAACGCCUUGGGGCCAAUACCCCCGAGGAAGGACAUCACUCACAGAAGAAGCACCGGCUAACUCCGUGCCAGCAGCCGCGGUAAUACGGAGGGUGCGAGCGUUAAUCGGAAUUACUGGGCGUAAAGCGCGCGUAGGCGGCGUGAUAAGCCGGUUGUGAAAGCCCCGGGCUCAACCUGGGAACGGCAUCCGGAACUGUCAGGCUAGAGUGCAGGAGAGGAAGGUAGAAUUCCCGGUGUAGCGGUGAAAUGCGUAGAGAUCGGGAGGAAUACCAGUGGCGAAGGCGGCCUUCUGGACUGACACUGACGCUGAGGUGCGAAAGCGUGGGUAGCAAACAGGAUUAGAUACCCUGGUAGUCCACGCCGUAAACGAUGUCGACUAGCCGUUGGGGUCCUAGAGACCUUUGUGGCGCAGUUA